UACGAAGGGGCUAGCGUUGCUCGGAAUCACUGGGCGUAAAGGGUUCGUAGGCGGUGCGGUAAGUCGGAAGUGAAAUCUCUGGGCUUAACUCAGAGGCUGCUUUCGAAACUGCCGUGCUGGAGUGCGGGAGAGGCGAGUGGAAUUGCAGGUGUAGCGGUGGAAUGCGCAGAUAUCAGGAGGAACACCGGUGGCGAAGGCGGCGACCUGGUCCGAUACUGACGCUGAGGCGCGAAAGCGUGGGGAGCAAACAGG
rnacentral:rRNA from 1 species